rnacentral:rRNA from 1 species
CGAACGCUGGCGGCGCGCCUAACACAUGCAAGUCGAACGAGCGAGAGAGAGCUUGCUUUCUCGAGCGAGUGGCGAACGGGUGAGUAACGCGUGAGGAACCUGCCUCAAAGAGGGGGACAACAGUUGGAGACGACUGCUAAUACCGCAUAAGCCCACAGGUCGGCAUCGACCAGAGGGAGAAGGAGCAAUCCGCUUUGAGAUGGCCUCGCGUCCGAUUAGCUAGUUGGUGAGGUAAUGGCCCACCAAGGCGACGAUCGGUAGCCGGACUGAGAGGUUGAACGGCCACAUUGGGACUGAGACACGGCCCAGACUCCUACGGGAGGCAGCAGUGGGGAAUAUUGCACAAUGGGGGAAACCCUGAUGCAGCGACGCCGCGUGGAGGAAGAAGGUCUUCGGAUUGUAAACUCCUGUUGUUGAGGAAGAUAAUGACGGUACUCAACAAGGAAGUGACGGCUAACUACGUGCCAGCCGCCGCGGUAAAA